rnacentral:rRNA from 1 species
ACGAAGGGGGCUAGCGUUACUCGGAAUUACUGGGCGUAAAGGGCGCGUAGGCGGCUUGGCCAGUCAGGCGUGAAAUUCCUGGGCUUAACCUGGGGACUGCGCUUGAUACUGCUGGGCUUGAGGCCGAGAGAGGGUGGUGGAAUUCCCAGUGUAGAGGUGAAAUUCGUAGAUAUUGGGAAGAACACCGGUGGCGAAGGCGACCACCUGGCUCGGUACUGACGCUGAGGCGCGACAGCGUGGGGAGCAAACAGGAUUAGAUACCCUGGUAGUCCACGCCGUAAACGAUGUGUGCUGGAUGUUGGGGCUCCUAGAGUCUCAGUGUCGUAGCUAACGCGGUAAGCACACCGCCUGGGGAGUACGGCCGCAAGGUUG